UACGUAGGUGGCAAGCGUUGUCCGGAUUUACUGGGCGUAAAGAGCGCGCAGGCGGUCGUUCAAGUCGCGUGUGAAAGCCCCCGGCUCAACUGGGGAGGGUCACGCGAUACUGAUCGACUCGAAGGCAGGAUAGGGUAGUGGAAUUCCCGGUGUAGUGGUGAAAUGCGUAGAUAUCGGGAGGAACACCAGUGGCGAAGGCGACUACCUGGCCUGUUCUUGACGCUGAGGCGCGAAAGCUAGGGGAGCAAACGGG
rnacentral:rRNA from 1 species